UACGCGUUUCAAUCGAUGGCUGGAAUUCUGUUUUUCCAUCCAAGUGGAGAAGUUCCUUCGCACACAUAUACCUCACAUCUGCUGGCCAGUGGUUUGUUGCGGCUCUAACUCUUUCUGUUCGCGUUUGUUGUUGUGGUUGUGCUUCUACGUUUCAGUGUUCAUCAGCCAUGUCGGGAAGACAAGGUGGAAAGCUGAAGCCCUUGAAAGCUCCUAAGGGCAAGGAGAAAGAGUAUGAUGAGACGGACCUUGCAAACCUCCAGAAGAAAAAAGACGAAGAGAAGGCCUUGAAGGAAUUGAAGGCCAAGGCUGCGGGGAAGGGUGCUUUUGGUGGAGCUGGUUUGAAAAAGAGUGGUGGGAAGAAGUAGAUGCGUGAACAUGGUGCCUUGUAGUUCAUUAAGUGAUGCUAAACUGCAGCUGAAUGAACUGCAAGGGUGAAGGACAUCCUCAGUGCACUAAUGAGCUUCUGAGUGUCUGGAAGCUGCAGAGUCAUGGCAGGAAAUUGCUUAGGGUUAUAUGAUCAUAUGCGCAUAUUUGUUCUGAAUUUGCAAUAGACCAUAGUUCUUAACAGAAAAAAAAAAAAAGAAGAUAGCUUCCAUGAAUCGUUGCAGCGAGUUCCGUGUGAUUUUGUUCCUCCUAACGUGAGGUGAUCAAUUGUGGACUGCAUGUUGUAAUUCAUGUGCCUAAACUGCACCUCGUUGCCAAAGGUUACAGUGUGUACCUUGCACAUGGAUGUGGUGUUUAUGGACACAGUGAGUUGCAGAUGAACCCUGUCUGGACGUCAGAUUACGUAAUGAAGCGUCUUACUUAGGAGAUGUUUUUUUCAUA